rnacentral:lncRNA from 1 species
GUCCAUUAAUGCAUACACAUCAGAACACCCAAUGACGAGAUUACCUGACACCACGGUGUUGGAUGUGUUAGCCUCCUGCUGAGUCAUGGUGAAGAUCCUGGCUGGAGCUGAUGGAUCUUCACCUCGGGAACCAGAAGAAGAGGCUGCCCCUCUCCCUCUACCUCUGCCACUGCCCUGAGUUGUGGCUGGAGCUGCUGGCUGUGCCACACUACCAGAAGCUGUCUGCUGGGGCUGGCCCAUAAAAGGUGCUCUAGGACACUCCCGAGC